AACGGCCGCGGUAUCUUGACCGUGCAAAGGUAGCGCAAUCACUUGUCUUUUAAAUGAAGACCUGUAUGAAUGGCAUAACGAGGGCUUAACUGUCUCCUUUUUCCUAUCAAUGAAAUUGAUCUCCCCGUGCAGAAGCGGGGAUAAAAACAUAAGACGAGAAGACCCUAUGGAGCUUAAAACGCAAGAACAGAAUAAUACCCCUUCAUAUAAGCCAAAAUAUAAAAUCCAAUUAUAAACCUGUUCAAAUGUUUUUGGUUGGGGCGACCACGGAGUAUAAUUAAACCUCCACGAGGAAUAAAGACAUUCCUUUUCAUUUAAGGGUGACAACCCUAAAAAACAGAACAUCUGACCACCUUGAUCCGGCAAAGCCGAUCAACGAACCGAGUUACCCUAGGGAUAACAGCGCAAUCCUCUUUUAGAGUCCCUAUCGACAAGAAGGUUUACGACCUCGAUGUUGGAUCAGGACAUCCUAAU
rnacentral:rRNA from 1 species